rnacentral:rRNA from 1 species
GACGAACGCUGGCGGCGUGCCUAAUACAUGCAAGUCGAACGCACUCUCGUUUAGAUUGAAGGAGCUUGCUCCUGAUUGAUAAACAUUUGAGUGAGUGGCGGACGGGUGAGUAACACGUGGGUAACCUGCCCUAAAGUGGGGGAUAACAUUUGGAAACAGAUGCUAAUACCGCAUAAAACCUAACACCGCAUGGUGUAGGGUUGAAAGAUGGUUUCGGCUAUCACUUUAGGAUGGACCCGCGGUGCAUUAGUUAGUUGGUGAGGUAAAGGCUCACCAAGACCGUGAUGCAUAGCCGACCUGAGAGGGUAAUCGGCCACACUGGGACUGAGACACGGCCCAGACUCCUACGGGAGGCAGCAGUAGGGAAUCUUCCACAAUGGACGAAAGUCUGAUGGAGCAACGCCGCGUGAGUGAAGAAGGUUUCGGUAUCGUAAAACUCUGUUGUUGGUAGAAGAAUGUAUCUGAUAGUAACUGAUCAGGUAGUG